rnacentral:rRNA from 1 species
CUAGUAAUCGCGGAUCAGCAUGCCGCGGUGAAUACGUUCCCGGGCCUUGUACACACCGCCCGUCACACCAUGGAAGUCGGUAAUGCCCGAAGUCAGUAGCCUAACCGCAAGGGGGCGCUGCCGAAGGCAGGAUUGAUGACUGGGGUGAAGUCGUAACAAGGUACC